rnacentral:lncRNA from 1 species
GAGGCCUCCUAGCUCACAGCCAGCCCUCAGAGUCCUCACAAACUAUCAGGAGCUGGCUAUGCCUUGGGCGGUGGUGGCAUCCUGAUUCAUUUGACAUCUUUGGGCCUCCCUACCUGCUGGUGAGCACUGUGGCUCUUCUUGCCAAAGAGAUCCACAAAUCCCCAGUCUACCUCAAAGCUCAGAGAAGUCAGAUGGCUGACUGCCUUCUUCCAAGAUAUGGGAUGGGAACUUCCAGCACUUUGGGGAAACAGCAUCCAUUAUUCUAUGGAGAUGUUCUGUAACAAUGUCAUCUCCACAAAGAACUCACUGCCUCAGAGGUUUUCUAAGGUGGUGAUUAAACAUUUGCUACGUUGUAAUUUCCCA